AGCGCCAUUCAGGUUGGUAUAGCUGGAAUGCAGUGCCUCGGCGUUCUUGUCCAUGCAUACAUAUCCUUUGCCGUGAGACCCAUGGUUCUCCCCCAUCAGGUAUCCCUGGUACUCCUUGGUCCAUCCGUUGUAGCACGAUGUGCGGCCAGGUAUCAUCAAGGUUGUCUUUCCGUGAGCAAGACAAACAGAACACGGUACGUCAUACUCGUAAGGAUCGCCAAAAGCUGGUGGAUUUUGUUUUGCUUCGU